rnacentral:rRNA from 1 species
UACGUAGGGUGCGAGCGUUAAUCGGAUUUACUGGGCGUAAAGCGUGCGCAGGCGGCCCGUUAAGACAGGUGUGAAAUCCCUGGGCUCAACCUAGGAAUUGCGCUUGUGACUGGCGGGCUCGAGUACGGUAGAGGGGGGUGGAAUUCCUGGUGUAGCAGUGAAAUGCGUAGAGAUCAGGAUGAACACCGAUGGCGAAGGCAGCCCCCUGGGCCUGUACUGACGCUCAUGCACGAAAGCGUGGGGAGCAAACAGU